rnacentral:rRNA from 1 species
UACGAAGGGGGCUAGCGUUGUUCGGAUUUACUGGGCGUAAAGCGCACGUAGGCGGAUUGGUCAGUUAGGGGUGAAAUCCUGGAGCUCAACUCCAGAACUGCCUUUAAUACUGCCAGUCUCGAGUCCGGAAGAGGUAAGUGGAACUCCUAGUGUAGAGGUGGAAUUCGUAGAUAUUAGGAAGAACACCAGUGGCGAAGGCGGCUUACUGGUCCGGUACUGACGCUGAGGUGCGAAAGCGUGGGGAGCAAACGGG